rnacentral:ncRNA from 1 species
AAAUAAAUUUUUUAUGGUUUAAAUAAUUUAUUUUAAAUUUAUUUUACAUAUAAAUUUUAGUGUUAAUUAAUAAUUAUUUUAAUAAUAAUUAUUGAGUUAAGUAGUAAUUAAUAUUAAAAAUUUAAGAAAUUAAGAUUUAGUAAUAUUAAAAUUAAUAACAAAUUUUGUGCCAGCAGUUGCGGUUAUACAAAAGUUAAAUUAAAUUAAAUUAGUAAAUUAAUAAAUAAAAUUAAAAUUUAAUUAAAUAUUAAAUUAUUAAGUGAAAUUUUAAUUUAAUUAAAAUAAAAUAAAAAAAUUAUGAUUUAAUAAAUUUUAUUUAUAAACUAGGAUUAGAUACCCUAUUAUUAAAAAUUUAAAUAAAAAUACUAAAAUAGUAGAUAAUUAUUUAUUGAAACUUAAAUAAUUUGGCGGUAUUUUAGUUCAUUUAGAGGAAUCUGUUUAAUAAUUGAUAUUCCACGAAUAAAUUUACUUAAUUUUUUAUUUUGUAUAUCGUUGUUAAAAAAAUAUUUUUUAAUAAAAAUAAUAUUUAAAAAUUAAUAUAAAAAAUUAAAUCAGAUCAAGAUGCAGAUUAUAAUUAAGAAUAUAAUGGAUUACAAUAAAUUUAUUUAUUUAUGAAUAUUAAUUUGUAAUAAUUAAUUAAAAGUGGAUUUAAAUGUAAUUUUAUUUAAUUUAAUAAAAUGAUUUAAAAUUAAAGUAUGUACAUAUUGCCCGUCGCUUUCAUUCAUAAAUUGAAAUAAGUCGUAACAAAGUAGAGGUACUGGAAAGUGUUUCUAGAAAUAC